rnacentral:lncRNA from 1 species
UUGUCAACGCAAUGUGUGGAAGUCAGGAUUUAAUAAUGACAUAUCUGGUCAACGCGGUUUGUUCUGACGUUAUUGGCAUGGAACCGAGAACGAUUUUUUUUUUUUUUUCUGGUCGAUUGAAUAAAAUAAAAUAUCUGAGCAAAUAGUGCAUGUUACACUUACACAGUCACUGGAUUUGUUUUACAGUCACUGUUCAAAUGUUACUUAUUAUUAUUUAUUUAUUUUUCAUUUGUCAGAAAUGUACCAAAUUUAUUAGUUUACAAAAAUU